GCCUGUCGUAUUCCCGCGAUCCCCCUCUCCCUGCCGCCAGCUGUUCUGCAUCUUGCGGAGCGCCCGCUUCCUGUGGGACCCGCAGUGUGAGCAGGAGCAGAACAGAGGGAAGUAGAAGUAUUCUGGGAGCCAACGAGCCCUCCCUGCCUGCUCAUCUGGACUGGGGACCUGAAGACACAGAGAAUCUGAAUAUCUGGCAUUGUGGAUGGGCUGUCCAAGGUUCUCCUAGAUCCAUCCAGGUUUCUGAAAGCUGCUUUUCUAACACGGCCCUGUCUCAUAUCCUCAUCUGCCAUCCAAAGACAGUGGCGCAGGGGCCCAGACAUCAAGAAAGACUACACAGAUGGUACUGCUCAACAGCAAGGACUGAAGACAGACAGUUCGGCUGAUGGUGGCCUCACGAGCCAACUAGAACAUCAUGACCACCUCAGUCCCAUCAGCUUCCUUGGUUACAGGCUGACCUGGACCCAGGGACCCAACAAUGAAAGCAAGGUGGUAUUUCCUGGCCCUGAGGUCCUUUGGGUUCUGUGUCUGUACUGGCUGGAGGCUGUUCCAGAAAAGCAGGAAUCUUGGCAGGGGAAGGUUGGGGAGCUGCUUGUCUGUGGCUGAGAUCCCACCCACCUGCCAGGAGCCAGAAGGACUUGAACUGACCAUCACUGGUGCCACAGUUUGCUCACCCGGCAUGCUUGGAAGACGGCAGCCUAAAGGAAGAGACAACCAGCUUGAUGAGAACUUCAGGCUCUGUGCCCAGGGACUCCAGUAACCCCACAUGUGAAACUCCAGCUCACCUCAUGGGCCCCCAACCCAAGGCACUCUGUUCACAGAGAGGGCAGCGAUGCCAGAGGCAGCCCAACUAUGAGAGACUGGCUUCUAAACCUCUAGCCCUAAUGUGACACAGCAUAAUUCCCUCAAGCCCUCAACGGCAGCCCAAAGGUGAAAGCCCAAGCAGGUUCAGGACUUUCUAGCCUGUGGCUCAGAUGCAUGGCAUGCCCCACCACGAGAGGGAGCGACCGACGCGGCACAUGGUACCUGUGCUGUUCUUGCCAUUAGAGGAUGCCUGUAAAGAGAAGAGUCAGACUGCAGAACCUAUGCUGGAUCCCAGCACUUCUUUCCACUUACCGCCCAACUCUGGGGGCCUCCCAUCUGCACUAAGCUCAGGGGCCCCGGGAAUGGACAGCUGCUACUCUAGGCUUUCUAGACAGCCCCACUAAAGCUACCCGGCCACAGCUUAUCAGGUCAUCACCGAACAGUGUGGCGUUGGGGCUAUGGGAACCAGCGUUCUAUUUUGGUUCACCAUCUUCCCCAGGUGACAGGACUCCAAGGUGAUGCCUCUCCCAAACUAAGCUCAUGAGUUUGGCUCCUAGAAUAGAUGGUAUUAGUGACGUGCAGAGACCAGGGCUUGUGCCAGCCAGCCCACCUGCCCACCCAUAGCCUACCUUGCACCUGCCUCAGACUCUAAUCAUGGGGCUGCUUACACAAGAGAACUCCCUGAGAAGGUAUGGUGGGGGGGUGUUCUCAAGAACAGCCACACUUUUCUAUGGAGAUGUCUAGGAACUGCCACCACCCCCUGCCCCCUAAGGAAAAGGUUGAGAUACUAAACCUAGGCCACUCUGGGACAGAGAUGGGCAGUACUUAUUCUUACUUCUUUUUUGAGGAAGGGGCUCAUGUGGCCUUGGCUGGCUUGAAACUUGCUAUGUACACUAGGUUGAUUUUUGAGCUCAUGGAGAUCUGCCUGUUUCUGCUUUUCAAGUGCUGGGAUUAAAAGCACAUGCUACCACACAGAAU